UCGCAGUUGCCAAAAGAAGGUCGUGC
rnacentral:sRNA from 1 species